GGUUCGAUGGUGUAGUUGGUUAUCACGUCUGUCUCACAGUUCCUCUUGAAGGACAAGUGCACAGGAGGUCUCCGGUUCGAGCCCGGAUCGAACCA